AGAGUUUGAUCCUGGCUCAGGAUGAACGCUGGCGGCGUGCUUAACACAUGCAAGUCGAACGGUGAAAGAGAGCUUGCUCUCUGGAUCAGUGGCGAACGGGUGAGUAACACGUGAGCAAUCUGCCCCUGACUCUGGGAUAAGCGCUGGAAACGGCGUCUAAUACCGGAUACGAGCUGCGAAGGCAUCUUCAGCAGCUGGAAAGAACUUCGGUCAGGGAUGAGCUCGCGGCCUAUCAGCUAGUUGGUGAGGUAACGGCUCACCAAGGCGUCGACGGGUAGCCGGCCUGAGAGGGUGACCGGCCACACUGGGACUGAGACACGGCCCAGACUCCUACGGGAGGCAGCAGUGGGGAAUAUUGCACAAUGGGCGAAAGCCUGAUGCAGCAACGCCGCGUGAGGGACGACGGCCUUCGGGUUGUAAACCUCUUUUAGCAGGGAAGAAGCGAAAGUGACGGUACCUGCAGAAAAAGCACCGGCUAACUACGUGCCAGCAGCCGCGGUAAUACGUAGGGUGCAAGCGUUAUCCGGAAUUAUUGGGCGUAAAGAGCUCGUAGGCGGUCUGUCGCGUCUGCUGUGAAAACCCGAGGCUCAACCUCGGGCCUGCAGUGGGUACGGGCAGACUAGAGUGCGGUAGGGGAGAUUGGAAUUCCUGGUGUAGCGGUGGAAUGCGCAGAUAUCAGGAGGAACACCGAUGGCGAAGG
rnacentral:rRNA from 1 species